GACGAACGCUGGCGGCGUGCUUAACACAUGCAAGUCGAACGGAAAGGCCCUGCUUGUAGGGUAUUCGCGUGGCGAAAGGGUGUGUAACACACGGGUGUACCCCCCCCUUCUCUGGGAUAAGACUUGGAAACAGGGGGUAUUAUAGGAGAGGAGCCCUCCUUCGUGUGAUUGUUGGUUAGUUUUUUUGGUUGGGGAUGGGUGCGCGGCCUAUCAGCUUGUUGGUGGGGUAGUGGCCUACCAAGGCGGCGACGGGUAGCCGGCCUGAGAGGGUGGACGGCCACAUUGGGACUGGGAUACGGCCCAGACUCCUACGGGAGGCAGCAGUGGGGAAUAUUGCACAAUGGGCGCAAGCCUGAUGCAGCGACGCCGCGUGGGGGAUGACGGCCUUCGGGUUGUAAACUCCUUUCGCUAGGGACGAAGCUUUUGGGGACGUAACCUAGAAAAAAGGCACCGGCAAAUUACUU
rnacentral:rRNA from 1 species